GGAAUAUGAAGAUCAAAUAAGAGCUGCUAACUCUUUAUUUUAAUGGUUAAAAUCCAUUAAUAUUCCU
rnacentral:tRNA from 1 species